GACGAACGCUGGCGGCGCGCUUAACACAUGCAAGUCGAGCGAAGCGGCGGACGGGUGAGUAACACGUGAGUAACCUGCCUUAGACAUUUGGAUAGCCUCGGGAAACCGGGAUUAAUACCAAAUGGUCUAAGAUGGACUCGCCUCCCAUUAGCUAGUUGGUGGGUAACGGCCCACCAAGGCGACGAUGGGUACCCGGCCUGGGAGGGUGAACGGGCACAUUGGAACUGAGAAACGGUCCAAACUCUACGGGAGGAAGCAGUGGGGAAUAGUGCACAAUGGAGGGAACUCUGAUGCAGCGACGCCGCGUGAAUGAAGAAGUCUUUCGAGUCGUAAAGUUCUUUUAUAUGGGAAGCGGUACCAUAAGAAAAAGCCCCGGCUAACUACGUGCCAGCAGCCGCGGUAAUUC
rnacentral:rRNA from 1 species